AGGACCUUGCGCUCGAAAGUGUAACUCGCUACCCACUGACCUAAGAGAUUUAGUUGAAAAGUAAGUUUCGUAUGAACUUCAAGUAAUAAAAAUCUUAUACGUGAUGGAUUCUUGGUCAACAAAAUUUUAGAUCUAUGAGCAGACAUGAACAGCCAUGAACAGACAUGAACAUAUAUGACCAGGCAUGGACAGGUAUGAUCAGGCCUGACAUACAUGAACAGGCAUGGUCAGGUCUGAUCAUUUUUUCCCGGCAGUACAGCAGCUUCAAUUUUUCGUAAUAUAAACAAGACAUUAAAUUUAUUUAUUUUUAGCGAAUGAUAAAAAUUUCUGUUUUUUUUUUGAUAAAAAUUGCUAUAAAUAUAAAAUUUUUUUCAAUGAUCGAUACAUCGAAAUUAUCUGCAAACUUUAAGCACUCCACUUAUACUCUCAAUGUUGUACAACGACAGGCCAAGUUAAUUACUGGGCACAUAAAAAUUAAGAAAUGGGAUAAUUAUCGUACUAGAAAAUAUUUUCCAUUUAUUUUAUUCCAGCGAUUAAAAGAUUCAUUUGAUUAAUUUCGAUUUACAUACAAUUCUAUCUAUAUCAAUCGAUAUCUUCGAACCUAUUAGUCGAAUCGAAAUGAAGUAUGAAUGAAAUUUGAAGAGGAAGGUCUAAGCUUUAAAAUGAGAGCGAGAACGAGCCCAAAUCUUGAUUAGUUUCAAAGUUGUACGAUUGCCAAUAAACUUCUUGUUUUAUCCAAA